UCCGGUGCAGUUGGGGCCACCAACCUUGCUAACUGAAGCGGAAACUCUUGACUUGUUAUCUUACAUUAACGGAAGCCCCCAGCAUCCUGGGAAGUUAUGGGGCUUACAGGUUAACUCUAGCCCUUACAUUGUCACUAAAAGUGUACUGUACCAUACACCUCCUCUGCUUCACGUUCCACAAAAGAUGAGCUGAAAUUUAAAGAGAGAGGGAAUGCGUGUCCUUCUAAUACUGGGAAAGAAGAGUAUAAAAGGGCAACAGAUAGCAGUUGAUUGGUUGAUGUCCAUCAGCGGGAUGAAGAAAGAAAAAUCUCAGAUGGUUGCAAAAAAUCUAUACAGGAAUAUUCAUCACAGUAUGACCAGGCAAAUCUGUAUCUUCUCUUCUAUCCAGAGUGAAAACAUCUACUGUUCCCCGUGGAAUCUAAUACACAGCGAGAUCUAAUGAAACCAUUGUUUCAGAAUGAGAUCCCCUCACAUCUCUCUCUCAUCUAUCAUCUAUCUACCCACAAUGGAUCUAUGUAUUCACAAUAUGCACAUAUAUUAAAUGAAGCCCAUCAUAUAUAGUGGAUAAUAUAUAUGUGCUAUAUCUUAUACAUAUAUAAUAGAAUAUAUGAAAUAAUGUGACAUAUGCACAACAGCUGCUAAGGAAUGAAUGAGAGAAUGAAUCCUUAUUCCUAACAGGAAUAUUUAAACCAGAUGAUUCAUCUCUUGGCAAGUCUUCUGCUCCUUUAAAGCCUAAUGCCGUGACCCUUUAAUACAGUUCCUAAUGUUGUGGAGACCCCCCAACCAUAAAUUAUUCUCAUUGCUAUUCAUAACUGUAAUUUUGUCACUGUUAUGAAUUGCAAUGUAUACAUCUGUAUACGUCUUAGAUGACCCCUGUGAAGAGGUCAUUCGACUCCCAAAGGGGUUGUGACCUGCAUUUUGAGAAAUGCUGUUCUAGAUUGUGACGAAACACAACCACAUACCUUUACCUGAAUAAUUUUAUAGAAACAUAUACAAGUUUUUGUAUUAUAAAUAUCCAUAAUGUACAAAAUGUAAUUUGGAAACAUGUAUCAGAAGUUGGUUCCUGCCUCUGGGAGAGGCAGGUAGCGGCUGUAGCAACUUGAGAAAGACUGACACUUCCUGUCUUUCUUUACGUAGUUGGAAAUUUUGGAUUGGGUACAUUUUCAUCACCGAAUGACAUACACAUAGAAAAGUAUAUCACCUAACAAGAUUGUAAGUGUAUAUGCUUUUUGAUUCAAAUAUUUCUCUCCCGAGAAUAAUAUCCUGCAAAC
ensembl:lncRNA